rnacentral:rRNA from 1 species
GACGAACGCUGGCGGCGUGCUUAACACAUGCAAGUCGAGCGGUAAGGCCCCUUCGGGGGUACGACGAGCGGCGAACGGGUGAGUAACACGUGGGUGACCUGCCCUCCAGCUCUGGGAUAAGCCUGGGAAACUAGGGUCUAAUACCGGAUAUGACUCCAUGACGCAUGUCGUGGGGUGGAAAGCCUUGUGCGGCUGGGGAUGGGCCCGCGGCCUAUCAGCUUGUUGGUGGGGUGAUGGCCUACCAAGGCGACGACGGGUAGCCGGCCUGAGAGGGCGACCGGCCACACUGGGACUGAGACACGGCCCAGACUCCUACGGGAGGCAGCAGUGGGGAAUCUUGCGC